GAUGAAGAACGCAGCGAAAUGCGAUAAGUAAUGUGAAUUGCAGAAUUCCGUGAAUCAUCGAAUCUUUGAACGCACAUUGCGCCCCCUGGCAUUCCGGGGGCAUGCCUGUCCGAGCGUCAUUUCUGCCCUCAAGCACGGCUUGUGUGUUGGGUGUGGUCCCCCCGGGGACCUGCCCGAAAGGCAGCGGCGACGUCCGUCUGGUCCUCGAGCGUAUGGGGCUCUGUCACUCGCUCGGGAAGGACCUGCGGGGGUUGGUCACCACCAUGUUUUACCACGGUUGACCUCGGAUCAGGUAGGAGUUACCCGCUGAACUUAAGCAUAUCAAUAAGCGGAGGA
rnacentral:misc_RNA from 1 species